UACACGCACGCACGCACGCACGCAUGCUGGGCAUAGAUUACAAACACAUUUGUUAUGUCGAAGAGAGCUUGGGGUAAAUAUUGAUCUCGUUCUUCCUCUGUUUCAGUGAGAGAUGAUUAGAAGGAGCAAGCUGGAGCAACAAACCCGGCGCAGCCAGCAAUCACAUCACAUGGAACACAUAUAAAUACACGGAGCAGCAAAAGAAGUCAAGGCUUCACAGAGCAUGCUCUGUUUGAGAACAGGGCUCGGGAUGGAAAGUGCUUAUCUUUCAACUUCUGUCACUCGUGGAACAAACACUGUUGGCAGGCUUUCAGAAAUCUCAGAGCAAAGGUAAGGAUUCACAAGGAAAAACACAAACACAGCUGUUUUUGUAAUGCUAGCCGGGCUAACAUGUAUAAAGUAUUUCAUUAUUUUAUCUUUAUUUAAAAAAAAACAAAAAAAACUGUAAAACCUUAUUUUACUUGGACAAACGUUGCGUGCUGUCGCACGUCAUUAUUUAGCCAGACUUUUGAUAACUCUAAGUAAUUUCAUUUGAAAUCAAUAAUUUUAUUAAUCUAAUCAGUUGAGUUUUUCCUUGACUCUUAUACAAAAAUGAGCAAGACCACAUAGCUUAAAACCACGUGAUCACUGUGUGCAUGACUUACACACACACACACACACACACACACGCACAGCUGCUGUACAUGAGGAAGAAAAGUAGCUCAGGGAAGGAAGGCUGGGAAAACCCAAUGCUUGUGUAUCAAAGGAGUUGGGAGAGAGGCUAAUCUGACUCCCCACUCAGCUUAAACAUGCUUUGAUGCCUCUUGUGCUGCUUCUGCACAACUUUCUCCUCUCGCUCUGUUUUUCUUCUUUUUUUUUUUUUUUGCAGCUCCCACUGCAUGCGUGCUUGUUUUGUGCAUGUGUGCGUGCAUCUCGACGGAGCUCCGGGGAGGCCAGGGGUGGAGGCACGCCACAAGAAAGAGCUCCCCCGAGCAAAUUAGAGAGGACUCCACUUAAACACUAACAGAAAACGCGAAGGGAGAGAGACGGUUUCAAGCAAAACGAGCGUUUCACCGAUAGCCGCUGCGGACUGAAGACCUACCAGGGCAAUGUGAACCGUAAACUCCACGCCGAUG